rnacentral:tRNA from 1 species
UGAGGUAUGGUGCAACGGUAGCACGCCUGACUCUGGAUCAGGUAAUCCUGGUUCGAAUCCAGGUACCUCAGCCA